UACAGAGGGGGCAAGCGUUGUUCGGAAUUACUGGGCGUAAAGGGCUCGUAGGCGGCCAACUAAGUCAGACGUGAAAUCCCUCGGCUUAACCGGGGAACUGCAUCUGAUACUGGAUGGCUUGAGUUCGGGAGAGGGAUGCGGAAUUCCAGGUGUAGCGGUGAAAUGCGUAGAUAUCAUUUGGAACGCCAAUGGUGAAAACAGGUAACUGGGAGUGUGCUGACGCUGAGACACGAAAGCCAGGGGAGCGAACGGG
rnacentral:rRNA from 1 species